CAGGCUACUGAAUCCAACCAAUGGAAGAAUGCUCUAUUUAUCAUGCAGUUUCUUCUGUCUUGCUUUUUGGGGUUCCUGCUGAUGUACUCCACGGUUCUGUGCAGCUAUUACAACUCCACCCUGACGACGGCUGUGCUGGGAGCCAUCAAGAACGUGUCCAUUGCCUACAUCGGAAUGCUCCUUGGUGGAAACUACAUCUUCUCCAUGUUAAACUUCAUCGGGUUAAGUAUUUGGUGAGUGGGAUUUCCCUAUGAACUCAUUGUUGCCAAAGAAGAACUUUGAAACUGCCUGAGUGCCACAUGAUAAACUAAAGGGCAAAGCCGGACGUUGCCGUUGAAGCCAGGGGCUGUCCUGACUCC